AGCUUCGGCCAUAACCACCCUGAGCACGCCCGACUCGUCUGAUGUCGGAAGCUAAGCAGGGCUGGGCUUGGUUAGUACUUGGAUGGGAGACUCCCUGGGAAUACCUGGUGCUGUAAGCUU
ensembl:rRNA 5S_rRNA 5S ribosomal RNA